rnacentral:rRNA from 1 species
AACGAACGCUGGCGGCGCGCCUAAUACAUGCAAGUCGAACGAGAAGCUGUAGCAAUACAGUUGUACAGUGGCGAACGGGUGAGGAAUACAUGGGUGACCUACCCUCGAGUGGGGAAUAACCAGCCGAAAGGUUGGCUAAUACCGCGUACGCUUCCCAGUCUACGGGUUGGGAAGGAAAGCGAUGCCGUGGGUAUCGCGCUCAAGGUUGGGCUCAUGUCCUAUCAGCUUGNGGUGGGGUAACGGCUCACCAAGGCAACGACGGGUAGCUGGUCUGAGAGGACGAUCAGCCACACUGGCACUGCGACACGGGCCAGACUCCUACGGGAGGCAGCAGUAAGGAAUAUUGCGCAAUGGGCGAAAGCCUGACGCAGCGACGCCGCGUGGGGGAUGAAGGUCUUCGGAUUGUAAACCCCUUUCGGGAGGGAAGAUGGACGAGCAAUCGUUCGGACGGUACCUCCAGAAGCAGCCACGGCUAACUUCGUGCCAGCAGCCGCU